rnacentral:rRNA from 1 species
GGUGGUGCAUGGUUGUCGUCAGCUCGUGUCGUGAGAUGUUGGGUUAAGUCCCGCAACGAGCGCAACCUUAAGCUUAGUUGCCAUCAUUUAGUUGGGCACUCUAAGUUGACUGCCGGUGACAAACCGGAGGAAGGUGGGGAUGACGUCAAAUCAUCAUGCCCCUUAUGAUUUGGGCUACACACGUGCUACAAUGGACAAUACAAAGGGCAGCGAAACCGCGAGGUCAAGCAAAUCCCAUAAAGUUGUUCUCAGUUCGGAUUGUAGUCUGCAACUCGACUACAUGAAGCUGGAAUCGCUAGUAAUCGUAGAUCAGCAUGCUACGGUGAAUACGUUCCCGGGUCUUGUACAC